GACACACCUGCCCAUUGAGCUGCAGGCUGACCGUGGUGCCCUGCAUGUUCAAGCAGGUCUUACAAUACGAGACCGUUUUGUGAAAGUCGCACAACUUCUCGUUGCUGCGCGCCAAGUUCAGGUAGCCCUCAGUCAGGCCAUCGGACUUCGGCGAGGUAGCGAGAAAGCAGAUCUCCGCCAUGCUGAACACUGAAGAUCCCCUGAAGAUGAUCCCCCGCGAGCUCGGUGCCAGAAGGCCUAACACAUCCAGAUCCCUCAACUCCGGCUGCGCUGGGACGGAAAGGAAACCGGAUCCAACCGAGUCACGACCAUUAUCACCAGCGGCUUCGUGAUAAACCCGAGAGCCGGGCGAAUAUCUUCCCCAUUUAACUCUGCAGUAAUCCCCCCUAGGCAUGAAGGUAUCAAAGUUCUUCUUCGAAUU